rnacentral:lncRNA from 1 species
UUGAACUUUUUACGGGAAUGCGGUUGAACAAUAUCCUACACAAAAGCAGACAAAGAUGAGUCUCCCCCUUACUCCAAAGGAUAAUAAAUUAGAUUAAACAAAUAUAUAUUUUCUUCAACACAUAAAUAUGAUUCGUUUAUAAUUGACUCAUGGUCAAUAGAUGCUGGGCAAGUUUUCUAAUGGGCCCAAUACCCCCUGGGCUAUUGGGUCUUCCUAGGCUCAUACCUAAAAUAGGUUUUUAAUUCCGCUCUAUCCUAGGUGUCUAAAGUAGGUUUGAACCAGGUUCCCAAGCGGAUGACUUGGAUUUGAAAAUACGAACCGUCAUUAGACGCCUCACGUGCUAAUAAACCAUCGUAUUUCUAAUACUUUAUUUGGAGUUGAAUAACAGAAGUCGAGACUUCCACGAAACCCCAAAAUAAUUUAAUAAUCAAUGUGAAAUUAUGCUAUGAGAUGCAAUAAUUAAACUCCGUAAAAUUGAAACAUAUAAACACGUACGAUUUUAAACAGUUAGUCAAAAAAUGAAAUCAAACAUUUGAUUAGAACCUAGUUAAAAUUCCCAACAGAGCCACUAUUCCUGUUUUGUGGAAAUUUUGACUUUUAGAGUCUGCCACUUAAUUUUUAAAAAGGAAUUAAGAAAACCAUUAUAAAUUACUUUAAACGACUUAAACAGAAAAAUCAUUUAAGUUGAAGAUUCUGAGUAAGCGAUUCCUAUUAACGUUUUAGGAAGGUUUUAGGCACCUAAAACGUCCGCUAAAUUGCGGUUAUUUGAACUGUUUGAAAAUCAUUUUUGACUAACUUUAAAAGGAAAAUAUUGAUUUUUCAAAAGAAAUCAAUUAAUGUAAAAAAAAAAUUCAAGAUUUUGUGCAAAACCGAUUUUUGACGACUUAGCGGGAAUUUCAACUAAGUCUAAGCGAAUAAAAUAGCAAAUAGCACAUGGAAGGGGAAGGGGAAAAAGUAAAAUAUUUAGGCCAUUGAGACCAAAUGAAUAGAUUAUGUCCUAAUCUAAUUGGAAUUUUGACCCACAUGCAAUCUAAAUGUUGGGCCCUGGCCCGUAACCUGUCCUAAACUAUUUUUUUAAGCAUGUUGGCCUAAAAUUUGCUCCACCUGUAUUAAAUUUACAACUUUAGCUUCGAGGCCCGAAUGAAUGAAUAAAUAUGUAGCUAAAUAAAUAAAGAAUAGUAAACGAAUGAGACUUUUAUGUCUCUUAGCUACUUUAACAAUGAGAUUCUAACUCUUUCGACUUCCUUGUAUCAAUGCACUAUGUAACCAGCUCUCAAAGUCUUCUGAAAAGGUGGGCCAUUAAUGCAAGGGAAAAGAGUUUGAUUGGACUCUCAAGCAAGUUCAUGCAAAGAAAAAAGAUGAAGGAAUUAAUGCCCAUUCAAGACACAACAUAUCUCAAAAUAAAAGAAACAUCAGGGACCAAAUUUUGAAUGGCAAUGACGCGCACAUUUACACAAAUAAUAAAAAUGAGAGUUAAUCGAUACGCUGCGAAGCAUAGAUGGGUGUAUAUAUAUAACAAUUCAAAUAUAAUGAGACAACUAGAAUGAAAAUAACAUCUCUGAAGUGGAACAUAGUUUAAGAAAUCAUGUUGUGCAUGGAUCGAUCGUACCCAAAUAAUUUGACUCAAAGAAAAAUGAAGAUAAAAUAGAAUAAAGGGACAAUAUUAUAGAUACGGCGAGCAACGAAAUACAGUCAAUAAGCAAAAAUGAAGGUGGUAGGGCCCUAAAAUUUGGAGAAUAAAGAUAAAAAAUGCACAUCUAACUAAUGAAACUUUUUUCUACCUUGUUUCCUUCUUUGAUAAUUUUUUAAAGAAAACUUUGACCAAUAAAAGGGGCAUGAAAGGAUAUUUAGGUGAAGCUUAUUUCAAAAUAUUCGUAUAAGUUUUAAAAGAAGACUUUGAGGCAACAAACAUAGUGCUGGCAUGCAAUUUCUGAUUAGGAAGUGAGUAAAACUUUAAUGAUUCCUACUGUAUCAAAGCAGUUUUUGACAUUCUUAAACAAAGAUCAAAGCUUCACCGAAUCUACACCAAAAAUUUAACUAUCCCAAAUUUUCCCUUUUAGAAAUCGAGGACACAAAUUCCAUAUUCCUUUACUGUUGAAAAAGCUUCAAGGUCCAAGUUACAUCUUUUAGAAGAUGAAAGAAAAGAAAUAAAAGGACGUGAAUUCAAAGCAUACAAAAGACCGUACCAACUAAGACUUAGGUAAGACAUUGUAAAAUUUCAACAGGGGGAACGAAGGCCAAAAUAAACAGAUCCAUAGAAGCAAAACGAAUAGUUUAAGAGAAUCAUUUCAUGACUUCAAAAUUUUACUCUUUUGGAAUCAACAUAGUAAAUUGGUAAAGAACCCCAAAGGAAACACGCAGGCAAAAGAAAAAUAAUCGCGAGUCCUAAAUCAACAUACCAUGGAUUGAAUAGACAAGGAUACUACUUUGAACAAAAGCAAUGAUAAAACUAAGACAAAUUUGAACCAAAAUAACAAAUUUAAAAAGAAAAAAAAAGAAUUUUUUCAUAGAUAAUGAAUGAAAACAGAAAUAAGAAGUGCACAACUCAAUACAUAAUGGCAUGGAUAAACCUUGAAUAACGACCUUUCAAAGAAGAAAAAAAAAAUCAGAAUGCUUAUUUUAUUAAUAUCGAACUCUUGUAUCCAUUAUUCACAAGGUGGGAUGAGGUCUAUUUGAGAAAUAGGACAGGAUCACCCUUUAAAAAAAAUCGAACAUCUAUAAUUCAAUAUCCAUAGACUACUCAAUGCAAAGGGAAAAAAGGAAAAAGAAUUGACUUCAACAAAUGAAAAUUUAAACCAACAUUAGCGUCGAAAUCUAUUUUCAAUGAAAGUUAACACAAUAAACAACAAUGAGUAGAAAAUAAUACAUCGAAUCUCAUCACAAGAAGAUAGAACCUAUGGCAUUUAAUGCCUCUAACAGCAAACAAUUCCCACCUUAUGCAAAACAUUGAUAAACUACUACUAUCCUUAAUACUAUAAUGCAAAAAAAAAGAGAAAAUUGAAGACUCACCAUUUUUGGAGCAGCAAAACAAAGCCACGAGCUUAUCGUCGGAAUUAGCCAUCACCAGAAAACGUCACCGUUACUUCGAAAGCCUCGAUCAACCAAUAAUUUUCACAGAAAAGGAAUAAAAAUUUUCACAAAAGACGAUUUCUACUUAAAGGAUUUUCCCCCUUCUUGUUUUUUUUUUUUUUUGUGUUUCUGCCUUUAGAAAAAAUUUUCAAAGAAAAUUCCCCCUUUCAGGCUCAAUCGUGAGUUGUUUAUAUAGAAAACAAACUAGGGUUCCCUCUCCAGCCUUGAACGACGUCAAAUUAGGGCCUAUCGGGGCGAUUUUGAAAGUCAUAAGAAAAAAGGAUAUUUUUCCCUUAGGAUUCUCGCUCACGACAAAGGUUUUCCCUCAAUAAAUUGUACCAAAUCCGUUGCUAAUUCAAAAAAAACUAGUCAAUAGAAAUGAAGGAAGAAGAAUGAUCUUCAAAAUCCAAUGAAAAUUUUCCACCUAUGUACGAAUUCGUACAACUCUAUCCGAGAAUUUCGAUAUUUGAACGUUGAAUAGGACACCUAAGCUAUCUUAAAGAAGAUUCAAGGUUUUUGGGAUGGGAAGAGAGAAAUAGAGGCGGGAUUUGGUAUACCUGUCAUUGUUGGUGAACCAAAACGGAUCAGAACCGGGUUUUGUUGUUGUUUUUUAUGGCUGGUUGUUCGGGUCAAGGUCGGGUAUUCGCUGAUUUAGAGUUAUUGUCGAUGUUGUUCUUGUUUGCUGUGUUGCUGCUUGUAACUUAGGGUAGAAGAGAAUUGAGUUUGGGCCUAAACGGGUCGGAAGGGUUUGCUUUAGGCCGAUGGAUGUUGUUGGAAGUUGGGUCGGCUGUUUGUUGUUGCUUCAUUGAAGGUAUA